rnacentral:rRNA from 1 species
GAUGAACGCUGGCGGCGUGCUUAACACAUGCAAGUCGAACGGAAAGGCCAGUGCUUUCACUGGUGCUCGAGUGGCGAACGGGUGAGUAACACGUGGGUAAUCUGCCCUUCACUUUGGGAUAAGCCUGGGAAACUGGGGCUAAUACCAGAUAGGACCUUGUUCUGCAUGGUGUGGUGUAAAGAUUUUUGGGCGUGGGGUUAGCUUGCGGGCUAUCAGCUUUUUGGGGGGGUGAUGGCCUACCAAGGGGUCGUCGGGGAGCCGGUCCUGGAGGGUGUACGGCCACCUUGGGGCUGAGGGAAGGCCCAGGCUGCUACGGGAGGCAAGAGGGGGGAAAAUUGACCAAUGGGCGCAAGGCUGGUGAAGAGAGGCCGCGGGGGGGAUGACGGGCUUCGGGGUGAAAAACCGUUUUGGAACUGAAGGAGCUUUUUGUGACGGUAGGUGGAGAAGAAGCACCGGCUAACUACGUG